UCUAUGUCUAUCUAUCUACUUAUCUAUCUAUCUAGAUAGAUGUAUCUAGUCCUGAGGAAGGGAUAUGGCAGAGGGUAGUGCCAUCUUCAGAGGCUUAACAAAUGCCUGGGUGCGGGUCCCCAGCAUUAGUCUGGCCCCUGCAGAAAUCAGAUGGACCAUGGCAGAUGAAAAGGGGUAACCACAAACUGAAUCAAGUAAUAGCCUCAACUUCAGCUAAUGUGCCAUACACAGUAUCUUCACUAGAGCAAAUUAACACAACCUUGGGAACAUGGUAUGUGGCUAUUAAUACUGUGAGUGUGGUUUUUCCCACACUCAUCAAGAAGGAGGGUCAGAAGCAGUUUGCAUGGCAUGAGAUGGACAAUAGUAUAUGGUCACAGUUUUGCUCUGGAGCUACCCACAAGGUUUACUCCAGAGCUAUCCUGACCUCUGUUAUAAUAUAGCCUGAAGUGACACAUGCUAUGUAGACAUCCAGAAGAACAAUGCAUCAGUCUAUUAAAUCAGUGAUGUCCUAUGAAUUGGACCCAAUGAGCAAGAAUGGAUGCCACAGCAGGACAUUCUAGGGGAUGGGAGAAACACCCUACAAAGAAUCAAGGGCCUGCCAUAUUGGUGGACUUUAUAGAUGUUCAGUGGUCUGAGGCAAGCCAGGAUAUUCCAUCCAGAAUAAAAUUCUUGGACCUUGGACCUCUUAUCACUAAGAAGGAAGCAAAACUUAGUAGGCCUCUGGGUUCUGGAGGCAGCAUAUUUUGCACUUGGGAAAACCGAUGCAACCCAAUUCGUCAGGUGACCCGAAAGGCUUCUAGCUCUGAGGGGGCCCAGAGCAUGCAAGGGCUCUGUAGUAGGACUAGGCUAUGGCAUCAGCAUCCCUGUUGUGGGCACUAUGUAACCAAGAAAGCCAUGGUACCAUAGGUAUCUGUGCAAGAGAAAGACACUGCGUGGAACCUCUGCUUCCAAUAGUAAAGACACAUCAGAAACCCCGAGAGUUCUGGAAUAAGGCCAUGAAAUCUACAGAAGAGAACUGUAAGCCAUUCAAAAUACAGCUCAAGGCAUGUAACUGGGCUUGGUAGAAACUGAGCAUCUUACCGUGGGACAUCAAGUGACUAUGUGGCCAGAACUGCCUGUCAUAAGCUGGAAGCUGCCAAACCAAGCAAACAAUAAAACAAGCAGAGCCAGUGACAACCCAUUGUCACACAGAAAUGGUACCUCUGAGGUCAGACACAAGCAGGGCCAGAGGGCGCAAGGAGGCUUCAUAAACAAGAAGCCCAGAUCCUCAUGUCACCUACCGAGUUUCACUGUUCUUCUCUCAGGGCUCACACCUCAUGUGGGGCUCCCUACAACUCUCUGAAGGGGGAGGAAUUAGUCCAAGCUCAGUCCACCGAGUCAUUGACUUGAUAUGUAGGUGUAGGCAUAAAAUGGACCACCACCACAGUGCAGCCCUACUCAGCGGAGGCCCUGAAAGACACCAGUGAGAGAAGAUCUUCCCUUGGGGCGAUGCAUCCGGUCACCAUUUUGUGGGGAUCACUAAGAAAAAAAGUUUCCUGACUCCUGACAUAGGGGGUUGAGAAGAGGACUGGAAGGAGUGAGACUGGAAGACUGGGAAAGGAAAGUCCGGGGAAGAGGCAGGUGGUUGGUCCCGUGUUAGUGGACAUAAAUGUACUAUCUUUGUAUAUCACAUUAAAGUCCACCAGACAGCAUCCACUGCAGAUGACACAGUAAAUAGCCACGUGGACCAAGGACUCAGCCAAUACACAUCAGCAAAAGUCUGUCCUUGGUGACACAUCUAGGUAUACAGUCAUAU
ensembl:lncRNA